AACAUGGUUGCCAGUCAAUAAUGCGGCUGUAACUUUACCUAGCCUGAUCAUGCUGUUUAUACCAACUCUUAGGAUCAAUCUGCUAUCAUGGUUACCAGUGAGUGGGUGACCGGCCUGCCGUCUUGACCAGGUGCUGCCCCAGACACGGCUCCUCCAGCACCAUUUCUUAGGAUUCUCACAAUGACGUUGGAAGGCAGCGGUUAUGACCAUCAGUUCCUGAGCUAAUACAGGAACUGAGGUCACCCUUAGACUCCACAGUGGGCCUUGGGGACCACUUUAGGAUGACAGAAAGACACUUUUUCCAUGUUCCCAUGGCUCCGUUUGUGCUGGAUGCUGAGUCACGCGGUGGCAGCCAGCCCCAGGAUCCCAGGGCUCAUCUCAGGCCAUCCAGAGCGUCUCCCCACCACAGAGACAGUGGUUCUCCACUUUGAAAGUGCAGAAGAUGAAACACUCCAAAAAAUCAGACUCCUGGGACCCUGGUCCCAAGGGGUCAGAUUCUGUGGGUUGUUGGGGGAGAGGCAGGGAAUCCGGCCAGCCCUCCAGGGGAUUCUGAAAGACUUGGUGGCAGAGGACUCUGCAAAGUCUCCUGUUCCAGAAGAACCAACCCAUCGACCCAGGUUCAGCUCCACGAAUUCUGAGGCUCUCUGCCUUCCUUCAAAGACCCCUGGAUGCUUUGUAAAAAUGCUGUUUGGCAUUUGGGGAGUGUUCUCUUCCCCACCCCCACAUCCCCCUGAUUCACAUGAGGCAGCUCCAUUUUACAGGGUAAACACACUGAGGCCCCAGGUGAGUGCGCCAAGGCACAGCUGGUGGGGAGAGCACCUGGGAGGCCUGAUGAGCGCACCCCCUCCCCUGAGAGUGGAGCCGGCCCUGUGCAUAGCAGGCUGCCUGUGGAGGCCAGGGCUUCUAUUUCUGCUCAGGGAUGUUGGAAAGGAGCAAAGGAAACGCUGACAGCUGCACGAUAGCUGCACGGGAACUCAGAGACUGUAAUUUUGCAAUUUUCAAGAUCACCUUAAAGGCUCCCAGAGUUCUUAGGGCUUCCCACUCUCAUGAGAGCUCAGUCCCCACAGGAAUCCUUCUUUCCCCUCCUGCCGUUUAUUUAUCUUGGACAGGAGAACAGAGCUUGAAUUCUAAAUCUAAUGUGCAAGGAAAUGAUUUCAGAACUAGGAGUAGAAGAUAAACUGGGUUUAAGGACUUUAGCCCUGAAACUGAAUCUCACCCAGAAUUUUCUGUAGCCUCCCCCAACUUUCUGCGGAUGCCUGCAGUGUCCACAUCCCUGGUUUUCAAGAAACCCUGUUGCAACCCAAGAAAGAUCUUGAGGUGGUGUUUUGGGGUCACAGGGCUCUCAUCCAGUGGCAGUGGGUCAUUGCCUCACUCUGAGCUGAGAGUUCCGACACUUGUCUGCAGAUGAGGCACUAUGUUAAAAUGCCGGGUCCCUGGUCCCCUUCCAGAGAUUCCAGGAUUCUGCAUGCUUACAGGAGAUCUUGGAGACCCUGGGAUGACCACAAAUGAGUCCUUCUCUUUGAGAAGUCCUGCUCUAGAACCAAUACCCUCACAGCUUCCUGGGAUUAAGGAGGGGGCUACAGCUGCUAGAAGCCCUGAAUGGUCUUCCGGAAGCUUAGUGUCACCCCAGGCCUCACCCUGCCACACAGACACCUUGAUCAGGCACAAGCCUCAAGAGAAAUUCUCUUCUGAGACAUUCUUGUCCUGUUGGCCAGGGAGGCUCGGAGCAGAGAGAGAACCUCAUGCUGGCAGAGAGGCCCAGAGGCCCGAGGCAAGAGUAGAGCUUUGCCACCGUCUGUUCUCCUCUGGAGUCUGCUUAUGGGACUCAGCGCAUAAUGCUGGGCACAAACCUCUGCAGGACAUGGCACCAGCUGCAGUUGAAGGUCAGGUCCGAGGACAUGCAGGUGUCACAGCUCCGAUGCUGCAGGCAAGCUGCAAGAGAGGAGGCAGUGGCCACUGAGCAUCGGGACCUUUCUACCAGCUUCACAGGGCACAACUCCUGAGUUCCAGAACAACAAAGUCUCUGUCUUAACAGGAGCUCGAGCUCAUUAUUGCGACCCUUACUUCAGUCCAGCCCCAACUCCCUUCCUUCCUUCUCGCCUUCCAUGAUCAGGGGGUUAGGUCCUGAGCUGGUGCUGGGGGUUUAACAGUAAGACCUAGUCCCUGCCUUCUUGGGGCUUACAGUCAUAUGAGCAGACAGACACCAAACAGAUGCACAGACAAAAAUAACUAGAAGUUGGGCGCAGCAGUGCAUCCUUGUAAUUCCAGCAACUUGAGAGGCUGAGGCCGGAGGAUCACAAGUUCAAGGCCAGCCUCAGUAAGUUAGGGAGACACUGUCUCAAAAUAAAAAAAAAAAUAAAAUAAAAAGUGUCGGGGAUGUGGCUCAGUGGCAAAAUGGCCCUGGGUUCAAUUAACAGUACAAAAGUUUACUGGGGCUAGAAGUCCUGGAUGAUGAAGUCCUAGCAGUGAGCAGAAAAAGAGCAGAUGCCCGCAAAUGGAUAGACAAGUCUACCUCAGGGCUUCUGUGGUGAGAGGGGCUGAGGAAAAAGUAGUUCAGGACAGGAAGGCAGAAGGAGAGUGGGGAUGGGGGUUGCUCAGGGAGCCUAACACCAGCCAUGGAGGGGAGGGCCUUUGGGCAGAGGACGAGAAGGGAGGGAGGGAGCGGGCCACUCUCCCAGGGGAGGAAAAGUCCAAGCAGCAGAGCCUGGUGUGUGUGGCCCAGGAGUGGUCCCAGGACAGACAGAACCCCUAACAGGCUGCAGGGGAGAGGCGGAAGUAGCAAGAAGAGAGCGGCAGCUGGGGCUGGCCCAGGGCAGAGAAUGAGCAGAGCAGGCUGCUGGAGGGCACCUGGGCCCCUCCUUGCACUGCUCAGGUAGAGGAGCCAGAGGCCUGGGGAGCAGGAGGCCUGGGGAGCAGGAGGCCUGGGGAGCAGGAGUCCUGGGGAGCUGGAGGCCUGGGGGCUGGACUCCAAGUUCUUCACUUGCAACUGAAUGCUGCCCACUCCAGGGGGCCACACCACCUCUGAGUGGCAAAUUACUGGCACAAAGCCCAGAAGAGCUGUGUGUAGUACAAGGGCUCAUCUUAUAAGCAGCUGACAGAUCACAUUGGUAGCAGCAAGAAGGGACAGGUAACUACAGAAAAAUGACCUCUCAUUCGAUAAACACUACAUGCACUUCUUCCUCUGUGAGUUUCAUGGGAUGAUACCUCAACCCAUUAAUUAGGGAACCAAUUUGCAUUCCAUGGAGUUCUGGCAAGAUGGCAGCUGGGAACCAGUCCUUGGUGAGUAGGAAAGAGGCUGUGGUGGGCCCAGUGAAUCCACCUUCAGUGGCUCUAUGGGAGGGACUGGCAGUUGGUGGCACUAUGUCCUUUUGUCUACCGUGGCGGAUGAAAAAUCAGGAGCAGGAAAUAAGCAGGGGCUGCCCCGAGAUGGGGGUGGGGCGGUGUGCUCUCUGCCUACUUCCUUCCCUGCUGUACCCAGGGGGCCUAGAGUGCCCAGCGUGUGAUAUAUAGAAUUCAUGGGGACCUGCUCUUCUUAUUCCCAUUUUACAUAGGAAGGAACUGAGGCCUAGAGUCAUGAAGCUAAAAGUGGCAGGUCUGGGUCUGAGCCAGGGUCUGUGUGAACCUAGAACCAGAACUCAGCCUUUUGGUUCCUCGGUGGGUUCCUCGUGCCCCGGCUCCCAGCCUCACGCAGGGUACCUUUCCUUGACUGUCUCCUAGCAGAGGAGCCAGGAAGGACCCACCAUGGAGUGCGAUGGCUUUAAGAUAAGCCAUCCACAUCCCUGGGAGUAUCUGGGAUAAGUGCUCUCGGCACCCAAAGCAUAAUGGAGAAGAUGAGGGAUAAAGAGCUUUCUCCUGGCAAAGCCAACAGGGCUCCUACAUGGGCGGCCACACAGGAGUCCAAGGCCUUGCCGUUCUCAGUGACUCUGGGGGCCCCUUAAAGGCUCUGGCCACACUGGCCAUGAUGAAACCCUCUGGGAGCCUUGUGGGGAGUUCAUAACACCUGUUGAUUGUAUCUCUCAUCUCAUUUCAGAUGUCCUGUGUGCUAUUAAAUGCUCACAAAAUUCACUAGAGUUGGGGGAGUGGCUCAACUAAAAGUCUCAGAAGUACAUUUCAGGCAUGGUGGCACAAGCUUAAAAUCCCAGAGUCUCCAGAGGCUGAGGCAGGAGGAUUGUGAGUUCAAAGCCAGCCUCGGCAACUUAGUGAGGCCCUAAGCAACCUGUCAAGACCCUGUCCUGUACAUACAUAUAUAUAAGGGCUUGGGAUGUGGUUCCGUGGUUAAGCACCCAGCCCAGCUCACUGCUUCACCCAGGCAGUUAGCCCUGGCCCUUUAUGUCAUUAUUCCUCAUGAAGCUUAUCCAAGUUUUAGGACUUGAAGUCUGUCCUUGCAAGUCCUUGAGGAAUCCCUGUUUUUCAGGCCCUGGGCUUCUGCUUCCAAAGAAGGUGACUGGGUUGGUGGGUGAGUCUGUGACCUGCACUGUGUCUUAGCCCUGUGACUCCCUGGUGUCUGGUCCUUUCUAUUUUCUAGGGGAAGAUACCUGCUGAGCCCAGGCUGAGACAUGGCCUGGCAUUCAUGACCAACCCUUCCUCUUCCUCCUCUUCGUUCUCUAUCCCCCAACUCCCAGGAAGGAGGAGGAAGAGAAAGGGAAGCAAGAAACGUCACAAAAGGCAGGCAGGCCAUGGCUUCAGAAGGAAGCUGGGAGGUACCAUGAGAUAGGAGAGGAACUUAAACUCCCUUAAAAAUACAAGAAUAGAAGUGCUGUCCUUUAACCUCAGUCCCUGCCUCAGUCCCCACAUCCCAAAGAGCACUCAAAGCCAGUCCUGAGGCGUCCACAGUGGCAGGGGGGCUUUGGUCAUGGUGUGUGUCUUCAACUGUAUGUAAGUUUUUGGAGGGCUGCUGCCUAAAUCUUUUUACUGUCCUCUGCCCAUGGACUCCAGCACCAUUCCCUCCAAAGAAAAUUUAAUGACAAACCACAAAUUGUUCAGUUUCUGGGUUACUUUUCCUUGGCACUAAGAGGGUACAUCUCUCUGGGGUUUCAAUUUUAUGUCAAUAACAAUACCUGUCAUAUAUUAGGCAAACCACCCCCCAGGCCUGGGACCUACCAGUAAAUGUCAGAGCUGCCAUUUCUGGUUCUAGCCCUUUCCACAGCUCUGGGAGGGAGGUGUUGGGGCCUAGAGAAGUUAGGUGACUGUAUCCCCCAGAGCUCAGCCGUGGCCCUGGGCCAUGAACCCUGUCUGUUGACUCUGAAGCAUGUUGCAAGAUGGCGGAAAGCUCCCUGUCCCUGAGAACAAGCCCCACUCACUUGGCAAUGGGGUGAACUCCACGGCCGACGUGCUGGUGAUCUUGCUGGAGUCCAGCUCCACCCGGUGGUAUUCAAAGAUCGUCCUUCGCCGAGACUCUGGAAAGAAGGCAGAGCCUGUCCUCAGGAGCCUGUCAUAGCCAGAGGGCUCAGUGCAGCCACUGAGGGAGGAAGUAAACCCACCAACCUGAGAGAGACAAGAGCCAGGAGCUGACCUGGAGAGGACAGCCUCUGUUGUGUGCAGGUUAAACUACCACCACAGAGGCUGGGCUGCUGCUGGGGUGAGGAGACGGCCAGCCUCUGCUUCCACACGCCUCUGCCAUCACAGGGCUGUUCCCUGAGCCAUGAUGUCCUCCCACCCUAUCUCCUUGUCGAGCUCACUCUUGCAGAUCUGGCUCAAGGACCUCUUUCCCUGAGUGGCACCUCUUGACCAGUUCCCUCCUGUCCCUGCUCAGGCUAGGUGUCCUCCUCCCACUGUACUCACCUGGUUAUGUAGACCUUCUGGGCAUUAGACUGUGAGCCUCAGGUUCUGAAUCUGACCCACGGUGAGCGCUCUGCUAAAGUCUCUUGCUGACCACUCUCUCCUCCUGGAUGGAGGCUUAAGCAAGGUUCAGGGUCUAGAUCCAGGUUUAAGUCCUACCUUGAUCCCUGCAGAAACUACCCUCAGGACCUCGGGAGUCAGACAACCCGAGUUCUGAUUCGAGUUCUGCUCCUGACUUGCUAGCUAACCCUGGGCAAGUCAGUUGAGCCUCUGUUUCUGGUCUGUGAAGUAGAAAGACAGAGAAACUUGCCACAACACCCUUUGGAGGGAAAAAACUGGAAUUGUAAAUGAAAAUAUUUGUCUUAAAAUGGCAAUCUUCUAUGUGCUGAUAUUUCUCAUGACCACACCAUGUCCAUUCAUGAACCAGGACUUGGAGUUGGUUUCCUUUAGCUCUGCAAGGCCGGCAGCCAGCUGCUGAGCUUCCCCACAAGAAGAAAGGGCACUGAGUGUGUGGUCUUUCCAUCGCCCUUCCUCCUUCUGGAAACAAUAUUCCUUUUGGGGGAACAGUGCCCAGUACACUGAAGCUGCCGUCUUCCAUGAUCCUGCCUCACAGUGAUUGGUUCGGGUCUGGGUGAUAGAUUUGAGGUGAACCAAUCAGAGAUCUUCCCUGAGACUUUUCAACUAACCAACCCAUGAAUGACAGUGUUUCCAGUCUCAUGGCCACAGAAUAAAGCUAUUUUAUGGAAAGGAACAGGAAGUACUAGUGUGGUUCCAAAACCUUCUCUGGCCCCCAUUUUCCCAGUUGUUCAGCUCCUCAUCUAGUUCUUUGUUCUACUUUGAUAUUCCCCAGUGCACUCCCCUUUCUGUUUAAGCUAGUUUGGAUUGGGUUUUUAGUACUAGAAGCCCAGAGUAGGUAGGGAAAUAUUUCUCACUCAACUCUAGAUGGUUUUGGGGAAAAUUUCCCAAGGGAGCAGGAGAGCCACCAUGCAAGGGAAGGCCUUUAGUGCAACUGCUGGGUGUCGUAUCCCUCACCCCUCGUCCUGUGUGAAGGAUUCAGGGGGCACCCACUGCUUAACAGAAUAUCUCAGCUCUAUGUCAUCACUUACUUAUCCUCAACCUUGGACUAGCUCCCUCCUGCUUAACCCAGGAUUGAACCCCCUUUGGUCUGGGGCCAAAGUUCACUCCUUCCCCAGGACACCACACUGCUCUGCUGAAGGUAUCGGUGCACACUCAGCCCCUGAAACAUUCAGGCCUGUACAACGUCAUUCUAAGUAAUGAAAAGGAAACUGCUCUGGCUUUGGUGCUAGCAAAGGUCCCCAGAACUAAACAAAGCUCCCUCUGAACCUGCAGCCAUUAAGGCCUGAGCUUGAAAUGUUGGCACUGCCCACUCCCACUUUUCUUUCUUUCUUUUAAUAUUUAUUUUUUAGUUGUAGUUGGACACAA